rnacentral:rRNA from 1 species
GGGUUGUGAGGUUAAGCGACUAAGCGUACACGGUGGAUGCCCUGGCAGUCAGAGGCGAUGAAGGGCGUGCUAAUCUGCGAUAAGCGCCGGUAAGGUGAUAUGAACCGUUAUAACCGGCGAUACCCGAAUGGGGAAACCCAGUGUGACUCGUCACACUAUCAUUAACUGAAUCCAUAGGUUAAUGAGGCGAACCGGGGGAACUGAAACAUCUAAGUACCCCGAGGAAAAGAAAUCAACCGAGAUUCCCCCAGUAGCGGCGAGCGAACGGGGAGGAGCCCAGAGCCUGAAUCAGCAUGUGUGUUAGUGGAAGCGUCU